rnacentral:lncRNA from 1 species
UCACAUAACUACAACAUCGAGACAAUCACUGAUGAUUAAUUAGAAAUCCAAGUGAUCUCUCGUAUGAUCAUGCUCAGUACUAGUUAUUUUCUAACAACUACCCGUACUUAUUGCUAGUGUCUCUACACUAUAGACCAGAGGCUUAUCUACCCUAAAGAAAGCGAUCUACAUGUCGGUCUAUCUGGAUCAAUCACUAUUCUCAUGAUGAUACU